GGGGGGGUCCCAAGAAUAUGACCAGAGAGAAAUUAGAUUAUACCCCAUUUGUGGUUAAUGUGCUUGGUGCUGUCAGUUCUUGAGGGGCAUAUGUGUCUGUCUUAUGGCCAUCCUUGGGAGUGGAUCUGGAUCUUGGAAGGACUGCGUCUUUUUGUCUUUCUUUUGAGGACAUCUGUUUCAUCCAAGUUGUUUAAGUUAUAAACAACUUACUUCCUUGAGUUCUGAGUCACUGAAUAGAACCUUUAGUUUUGAACCUUUAGUUCAAAAGAAGAAAAAGGUUAAUAAAUUUACAUGCUUUUCUCUUGUAAGCCUGUGUCUUGUUAUAGGGGCACCGUGUUAGCUUUUUGUCACUGUGACCAAAAGACCUAACAAGAACAACUUAAGAAGAAAAGUUUAAUUUGGCUCACAGCUUCAGAGGUUCAGUCCCUGGUCAGCCGUCUCUGUAGAUCUGGGCCUUGAGGUAAGGUCUUGAGGUGAGCAUCAUAGCAGAAUGGUGUAGAGGAGCAAAGCAGCAAGAGGACAUGGCAACGAGGGAGCAGAGAAAGAGAGCUUUGCUCACCAGGGACAAAAUAUAAACCUCAAAGACAUACCCCCAGAGAUUGACUUCCUCUAGCAACACUCUACCUGCCUACAGUUACCCCAGUUAACCCAUAUCAGUAGAUUAAUAUUCUGUUUAGGUUAAAGCUCUCAUAAUCUAAUCAUUUCACCUCUAAAUAUUCUCAUACAUGGACUUUUGGGGAACACCUUAUAUCUAAACUUUUAUAGACAUCAAGCAUGAACCUUGCCAUCGAUGAGGAAAAUAUUACUUUGUCCUCCCUACUUUGGGAAAGCUACCAUUUAUUCUCUAUAACUGUUCAUGUGAUCUCUUUCCCAUUUCAUUGUCCACCAAGAAAGAAAAACUACCAUUAUGUACCAAAAUGGGUUAUUCAAAAGUAUUGGACAAGGUAAAAAGAAGAAUUAGCUUCAUCCUAAAUGUCAAAGAUUUAAUGAUUUCUUCCUUGAGACUUUUUUUUUUUUUUUUGACUCCAAGAAACUCGUAAGACAGUGCAGGACAGGCCUAAGCAUGGCUUCUGCACACCAAACUCUCCUGAUGCUGAGCUGCUACAUAUAGACACACCCACUCCUGAUCCUUCUAGCAGUCUCGUGAAGCAUCCUU
rnacentral:lncRNA from 1 species